rnacentral:ncRNA from 1 species
UGCAUUUUAAUGGUAUAUAAAAUAAUCUUAUCUGGUAAAGCGAAUGAUUAGAGGCCUUAGGGUCGAAACGAUCUUAACCUAUUCUCAAACUUUAAAUGGGUAAGAACCUUAACUUUCUUGAUAUGAAGUUUAAGGUUAUGAUAUAUUGUGCCCAGUGGGCCACUUUUGGUAAGCAGAACUGGCGCUGUGGGAUGAACCAAACGUAAUGUUACGGUGCCCAAAUUAACAACUCUUGCUGAAACCAUGAAAGGCGUUGGUUGUUUAAAACAGCAAGACAGUGAUUAUGCGAGUCGAAAUCCGCUAAUGAAGUGUGCAACAACUCAUUUGCCUAAACAACUAGCCGCUAAAAUGGAUGGCGCUUAAGUUGGAUACCUAAACAUGUACCGCAAAGUAGAUGAUUUAUUAUUUCGUGGGAUAAAAAUUUUUGAAAAUUUUAGUGAGAAGGAAGGGACAAUGGGUUUGGUAUAAGUGUUUGGCGAAAGCUUGGCGGAGUAAUCUAUUGGGACAGAUCUUGG